rnacentral:rRNA from 1 species
AAUGAACGCUGGCGGCAUGCCUAACACAUGCAAGUCGAACGAAGCCUUCGGGCUUAGUGGCGCACGGGUGCGUAACGCGUGGGAAUCUGCCCUUGGGUUCGGAAUAACAGUGGGAAACUACUGCUAAUACCGAAUGAUGUCGUAAGACCAAAGAUUUAUCGCCCAGGGAUGAGCCCGCGUAGGAUUAGCUAGUUGGUGUGGUAAAGGCGCACCAAGGCGACGAUCCUUAGCUGGCUGAGAGGAUGAUCAGCCACACUGGGACUGAGACACGGCCCAGACUCCUACGGGAGGCAGCAGUGGGGAAUAUUGGACAAUGGGCGGAAAGACCUGAUCCAGCAAUGCCGCGUGAGUGAUGAAGGCC